CUCGUCAGAAAAUAACUUCAAGAGAUAUAUGUUUGACCCUUUUCUUCAAUGCGACAAUGAAGCGGCAAACAUAAUAUUAUUUGAAGACUACAUGGGGUCAGGUCUAGUGUAGGUAGUAUUAUACAAUAAGCUGUUGUAGGCAUGAAUUCUCUCGAAAGGUCGAGGUUUUUAAUCACGGAGUUUUAACUGUUUUUCAGGGAAACAAAAACCACGGUAUAUGCAACCCUACACUAGUCUAUACAACAUUGCUUUUCAACAAAU